CCGAGACAGCGGCUGCAGCGGCGGCGGCGGCGGCGGCCCCAGCCGGCGUCAGUCAGACUGGAGCCGCGAAGCCUCAUCGCCCGUAUUAGUGCGCCGACCUGGAAAGCCGCCAGGAGUCCUGCUCGCGGGUCCGCCCCCGCCCGCCGCCGCCGCGCGCCCGGAGCCGCUCGGGGAGCCCGCCAGGAGGGGGGAGCGCGGCCCGCCCCGCGGCCACGUGCGCGGAAGCCCGCGGCGGGGGCGCCUCGGGGACGCCCGGGCGCGGGGUCUCCCGGGCCCCCGGGCGGCGUCCGGGUCCUCCCGUGAGACCCGACUCCCCUCGUCCGCGGCUCGGCCCCCUCGGCUGGGCGGCGGGGGCACCUCGCGUCUCUCUCCCCGAACGUCCUGCCUCUCCACCUAGAGCCCGAGGCCGGAGGACCGUUUCCAGAACUCGAGGUGUGGAACCGACAAAUCGGUUUGGAAACCGCCACCCCCAACAAGUGGCUCUUCCCGACGUGUUUCUGAGUCCCGAGGGUGGCUGUUCCUUGCUGUUUGUCUCUUACUUGCUUUGCAAGAGUAAAGGGGGUCAUUACCCCCAACCGACAGCGCCAGAGUAACUGGUUUGCCCCUGCAUAAGCGGAUGAAAAUCGACUCACUCAAGAGUGGUGACACAGGAGGUGCAGAUUCGAUCCCUGGUUUGGGAAGAUCCCCUGGAGGAGAGCAUGGCAGCCCACUCCAGUAUUCUUGCCUGGAAAAUUCCACAGACAGAGGAGCUUGAUGGGCUACAGUCCAUGGGAUCAGAAGGAGUUGGAUGCAACUGGCACAGGUCUAGAAGUCCAAGAUCAAGGUGUCGGCAGAUUCGGUGAUGACUUCUGACGGAAUGAAUCCUAGGAGAGAGAAGAGAUAUUCAAAACUCUUUAAGUGAGAAUAAAAGAACAUCUCUGAAAGCAUUUUCUGUACAAAUAUGUUUCAUGUUCAUAUAGAAUUUAAGAUUAAUAAAGGAUCUUAAUCGUGUCUGUGCUUCUAUCAUACUGCAUAUUGUUUGGUGAGCCUUAGUCUACUUUUAAGACCUCUAUUGAAAAUAGUUAAGCAUAGAAGAAAACAGAUUCAUUACUUCUGGCUUUCCUCUUUAAGAGAGAAGUUUGGGUGGAGGGAAAAAAAAAGUCAUAUUACCUUAGAACAAAGGUCAUAAACAAUAAAAUAUGAGAUAUUAUUCUGCAUCUGUUAUUGUUUAGUCACUAAGUCGUGUCUGAAUCUUUGCGACCCCAUGAACUGUAGUGCACUAGUCUCCUCUGUCCAUAGGUUUUUCCAGGCAAGAAUACUGGAGUGGGUUGCCAUUUCCUUUUUGAGGGGAUCUUCUC
ensembl:lncRNA